rnacentral:rRNA from 1 species
GUGGGGAAUCUUGCGCAAUGGGCGAAAGCCUGACGCAGCCAUGCCGCGUGAAUGAUGAAGGUCUUAGGAUUGUAAAAUUCUUUCACCGGGGACGAUAAUGACGGUACCCGGAGAAGAAGCCCCGGCUAACUUCGUGCCAGCAGCCGCGGUAAUACGAAGGGGGCUAGCGUUGCUCGGAAUUACUGGGCGUAAAGGGCGCGUAGGCGGACAGUUUAGUCAGAGGUGAAAGCCCAGGGCUCAACCUUGGAAUUGCCUUUGAUACUGGCGGUCUUGAGUUCGGGAGGGGGGAGUGGAACUCCGAGUGUAGAGGUGAAAUUCGUAGAUAUUCGGAAGAACACCAGUGGCGAAGGCGACUCACUGGCCCGUUACUGACGCUGAGGCGCGAAAGCGUGGGGAGCAAACAGGAUUAGAAACCCUGGUAGUCC